UACAGAGGGUGCAAGCGUUAAUCGGAAUUACUGGGCGUAAAGGGUGCGUAGGUGGUUUGUUAAGUCAGGUGUGAAAUCCCUGGGCUCAACCUGGGAACUGCAUUUGAUACUGGCAGACUCGAGUCUGGUAGAGGGUAGUGGAAUUCCGCAUGUAGCGGUGAAAUGCGUAGAUAUGCGGAGGAACAUCAGUGGCGAAGGCGGCUACCUGGACCAAGACUGACACUGAGGCACGAAAGCGUGGGGAUCAAACAGA
rnacentral:rRNA from 1 species